AAAUUGUUUUGGGGACAAUUUCUUAUUAAUCCUUUGUAUCACUCCCAUGUUUCGUAGAGUGACUCAUCCGGUUGUUGCUCGAAGUUUGCUAUCGCCUUCUUGAUUUU